UGAUGCAAAAAUGUGCGUACUCCGUACAGGUCAUUCAGCAGUGUGCAGACUUCAGUUUAAUUUUACCACCCUUUCAAUCUUUGACCAUGCCAAGGUCAUGACUGAUCAUUGUCCAAUACAGACAGGGAUGCCCCCUCUGGGCUGUCUCAGACCUGCUGAGGGAGGUGUCCUGCUGCUGGACAAUGGAUGCACUUUUUCCCCUUGACCUGUUCUGAUAGUCUUAAAAGAAACAAUUUUAACUGCAUGCUGCAGGAUACACUUACCUUGUCAUUAGACUUUGGUUAUUCCUGUAUCUUACCUCUCAGUGGAAAAUUAGGUAUACGCCAGAGAGGAAUCACAUGUGUAGCCUUCUUCUUCCUGUUAUUUUCAUUCACCUACAGAAUUUUCAUGUACCUGUGGAUAAUUCUUCUUCUCUCUUUUAUUAUCUACUUUGUCUUUUGUGUUACAUUAUUUUCCUGUAUCUUUUGCCAUUUAAUUCCUAAUGAAAAGCAUUUGUUUGCUCAUCAUGGUGUUUUUCCCAUAACAAGAACACCCAUGUAAUUUCCUGUGAAUCUAAGGGUGAACUGUUAUUGACUUUUUAAAUUCCAGUUAGUUGCUUUCACACCAGACCAGGGUUUUUUGAUUGCAGCAAUGUUGUGCAGAUCCUAAAAUGGAUUUUAAAUCAGCCAGAUUUUGUCCUUGGAGUGUGAGUUAAAUAAAGUACUGUCCUUUCAGGUCCUUUUUUUUUUUUAACUAGGCAAAAUGAACUGAAUGAAUGAUCCUUUUCUCCACUCCUGAAUUCCUUUCUGCAUUUCCCAUAUUAUCUUCUUCCCUUCAUUGCUCUGUUUCUUUCACAUCUUCAUUCACAAGCUGUAUCACUGUUGUUGACUGCUCCAUCUUGGUCUCUGUCACCUGUGGGAGGUCAGUGUGACUUGAGGUUUUGGUAAUGGUGUGAUACCUGUGGUGGAUUGAUGCCAAAUCCUCUGCACAUCUGCUGCUCUUCCAGCACUGCCCUUUGUAUCUGGUGCUCUUUUCUGCAUAAUCACUGGGAUAAAAUGGAUCCCAGCAAUCUGACGAAAUCCAAGCUGCCAUUUCUGAACUAUUCUUAAGUUUUUGAUAUGCAGAAAAGAGUGGAAAAUAUGGACAUAUUUGUGAGUGAUAUCAUAAGGUUGCUUCUCUCUUUUAUCUUUUCUCAGUGUAAGUGGGGAGCUUUAGCAACAUCAUCCUUGCCUGCUGCACUUCUUCCUUGAUGCUUUUAGUUCAAAUAAACUUGCAUUUAAGCCUAGACAGAACCAACCUGUAGAGAGUGAACUGCCUGACAAGAGCUCAUUCCCAGCAUAAAUAAUAAAUAAAAAUGUGUUUUUAACACAUUUUACUCUCUGGAGUUGCUGCCUUGGGUUAGGUAAAUAAUGAGAAAAGAACAGGUAGCAAAGUAGAAAUCAACUGUAGUAAAUUGUACUGCCAAUAUUAGAAGGGUAUUUUUCAUUGUUCUGUUUAAACCAUGACCAUAAACACAUUAUAAGUACAGGAAUACGUGUGUAAAUAUACUUAUUAGUUGCGUUUUCUUCCCAACUGCUAUCAUAAUCUAUGCCUGCCUUUAAAAAUUAAUUUUGUGUGGAUAGUAUAUAAAAAUGAUUUUUAAAGGCUCAUAAAUUAAUACUUUUAAGCUUUGUUUUAGUUGUUCCCUGUUCAGCAGGAUGUAUGUUCUACAUCACUAGAGUUAAGAAGUCAACUUACAGUGUAGUAUGCAGUACAUAGGAUUUACUUAUGCUGAGGCCUUUGCUGAGAAUUUAGUAAAGAAUUUAUCCAGUUUUAAUAGGAAAUACUGGAAUAUUCCAAGAACCAAACAGGCUCCAACUUUUGAUCUAGUAAAUCAGUCUACAAAUGGAAAAAAGCAUGACCUUGUGUUCAAAACUGUGGCUGCUUUGGAAACAUUUCAGUAGCGCUGAGCCCUGGUACCAAUAAAAGUUUAUGGUGGCCUUAGUGACCCCUCCUGCCCAGGGUGAUUUCCUGAGCCAGUAUUUAAGUGUUAAGUCCACAAAUCUUAGAGCAUGUGGGUCUGGGUUGUUUCCCUUUUCCUGCUGUGUUCCAUGCUGGAUGCUGUGUUGGUAAGGAAAGUGCCCAGGUCUUUAACUGAGCGGAUGGAUUGCUUAAAUCCCACAUAAGUCACACCACCCUCUUUCCACCUAUGUCCAUGGGGUUCCCCAGGACCAGUCUGCUGGGAGCUGUGGGGCUCCCAGCACAUUCCACACCUUGAGCAGCAAGGAUGGGCUCUGCUCAAAAAACCAGGGCUGCCCAACAAUUGACUCAGUACAAAAAGUUGGGUGCCCUUGUCUGAUUGCUGGCAGUAGCUUAGGAAAUGAGGAGCAAGAAUAGUGUGACAGCAAAAGAGGUACUUAGGCACUUCUCUAGAGGAAUAAAUAUUGUUCAGAUUGUAUUAAUGAUGCUUUUCUGGUUUUGUUUGUUUAUUUCUUUUACAGGGAUAAGGAAGAAGAAUUAUGCUUCUUUAAUUUGAAAUACAAUUGGUAACUCUUCAACAUUAAUCCUAAAAACUGCUUCUACAGUUUUCUUGAUUUUUUUUGCUUCAUCAUACAAAACAAGCAUGCACAAAGUGUAAUUGCCCUCAGGAUGAGAUCCCUACAAGUGUGCAGAUAGCAGCUUUCUCAUGUAUCUUCUCACCCAUUUUCAUCUUUGUGGAAAUCCAGUGACUAUUGUAACCCUUUUUAAAGAGCUUGGUGUGCCCAGCUGGAGCACGUAUCGUGUAAGGCUGACCCCUGUGCUCCUCAGCUGUACAGUCUGCAUUACAAGCUUUAACUUCCCACUGGGAUUUGAGCUGGCUGCCUCUUAAAGGAGACGAACGCUUCUCCACCUUCCUCAUGCCUGAUAAGUCCAUAGGUGUUGUGAUUAGAGUAUCAGUGUAAAACAGAACAGUACUUGGGACUGCAGGACAGUGCAGGUACCAGAGUAGAUGGUUCCCUGUGACACACACGUGUGCAGGACGUUCAAUAUAAUACUAGCAUCCCUGUUCCAAAAUGUUUCUGUCCUACCUUUUCCUGUUUCGGUGCUCGGAGUGGAGUUUCACGUUGCAGUUUACAAGAUACAGGUUUGCACACACAACCUCAGGUUUACAGUUUCACCCGGUGUACUUGAAAGGAAAGAAAAAAAUGCAUAGAAAACAAGUGCCCAGGAUUUCAACAUGUGUUUGUUGGAGGCAAAUUUUGCAGGGUUUUUUUUUUUUUUCACUGCCUGUGGAGAUGAAAGCAAUUGAAUGAAGGAAUACCAACAGCUAUUUAUUUUCUCAGGGGAGAUUACUUCAGUGGAAUGUGUCAAUACUAAUGUCAAACAGUGUUUACUUGAUUUUGUCUGUUACUAAAAAGACUUCUCGUUUGCAUCAAGGGGUCAGUUUUGCAAGGUGCUUCGCUUUGCAAACCCAGCAAAGCCUUCACAUGCAUCUCCAACUUCAGAUAUCUAAACAGAUUCCUGGGGACUUCAAUGGAAGGACUUUUUCCUUCUCCCAUCUAUGCAAAGCUUUGCUGAACUCAUCCCAGAGUGCUGAGUGCCUUGCAGACCUGAGCACCAGGUUCUUCACUUUCCAAAACCCGAGCUCUGGCCUUGAGUCAAGCCGGACCCAGCAGAUAAUGCCGCAAAACGUCACCAGAAAAAAACUCUGGUAAUAUGGUGCUCCUCCAUGUAUACCCAGUGGUGAAUUUCUCCAGUGGAUGGGGUGAUGUGUAACCACAUAUCUUGGAUUAGAGUCAAGUCCUCCAUGUCAGGGCUCACAAGCUGCUAGUAUUAUAUGUUUCACAGUGCAGUCAUAGUAUGUUACGGCUGAAAUUCACCCCAUGUGCAAAGCAGGGCAAAAUCCUGGGCACCACCCAAGUUCCCUCCCAGCCCUGCUGUCAGGGUUUGGGGGCUGCGCCAGCCAACUCUCCAUGCAUUUUAGGUCAGGAUCCAAUUAAAAGAGUUUGAGUGGGACUGGAGUGAUGCAUCAGAAUGUUGUUCUGGUCUUUUGCAACAGGGUUGAUUUCACUCAGUAUCAAAUUUAGCCCUUGGUGAAUCAAUUGGUGAAUGAUUUGAAAUGUAUUUAUGGGUUGUGUGGGGUGUUUUUCCCCCUUGUCUGUAUUCAAUGCUACCUUUAUUCUUUAUUGUUGAUGGCCAAAGUGUCAUUCCUUAUGCUUAUAUAUUGCCAUUAACUUGUGGCUACCUGAGAACACAUACUUCAAAAAUGCUUGUGCUUUUUUUUUUUCCCACCUAUUUCUUUUUUUUUAAAUUUUCUUUUUUUUGCCCCCCACCCCUUCCUUUUUCCUUUCAUUUUUAAAGGGGUGUGUUAGUUAUCGGUGUAAAGAUAUUUAAAAGUGCAAAUGUGAAGGAUAAUGAUUGUUAAGAGGAUGUGGGUGGUAUGUCUGAUGAGAGAGGGGUGGGCUGUAAGGAAAAGGGGAAAAUGCCAUGAACGUGUUGAUGAUUGUUGCCUGUGGAGGAAGAAUUAAGAAACAGAAGAUGUAUAACUGGAGAGAAAUGGACUCUCUGAGCUGCUCUCAAUGGAGACAACACUGUGGCAAGUGUGUAGCUGAAACCUGAAGUGAUCCCACGAUGUGGGCCUGGGAUUGAAGGACGGCGGAGUCGCUCUGGGAAUUGCACAGUGGGAACACUUCAGUGUGUCACAGCCACGUGAGAACAGACUGUCUGAAACCACCAAGUACCAAAGUCUGUAACUGAAUGAGUUGGCAUUUGUAUUAUGUUGGGGUUUGUUUUGUUUUGUUUUUUUCUUGAAUGUUAUGACAAAUAAAAUGUAUUUUUCAGUAAAAGACA